GCCGCGCAGCACCGCGCACACAAAGUUGUCGCUCGGUUCGCAGCCGUGCGGACACGGGCUCGACCCCGGCGCUGCAGCCCGGCCGCCUGCGCCCGAGAAGAGGGGGCGGGAAAACCGACGGGAAACUUCUCAAGAACCGUCCUGACAGCGUAUCGGUGAUGACAGGAGCGGCACCGGGACCGCUCCCGCCGCAGCCCCGCACAGGCGCCCCGGGCACAGGGCACCCUCCCGUCCUGGGGAAGGAUAACGCUGACGGCCCGUAAGCCGUCGCCAAAUUGCUCAUCGGACACGGCGAGGUCAUGCAAGAUAUCAUGAUCUUAAAGUAUUUUCCAGGAAAUUAGCGGAAAUAGAUUGGAUUACGUUGACUCCGCUCCUUGCGUAUGCCUUAUCCUGCUUGCAGACCCAGUACCUCGAGCGUGAUCCUCUGACAAGGGGAACAUUGUCCUCAUCAGCUAACACCGAUAUCACAAAACUCAGCUAAUUGUAAAUGUAAAGUAGAUAAUGGCUGACACAGCAUCAAGGCUUCUCUUCUGCUUCUCAUCCCACCCCACCAGUGAGGAGGCUGCGGGUGCACAGUGAGUUGGGAGAAGACACGGCCAACACAACUGACCCCAGUUGACCCAAAGGAUAUUCCAUAUCCUAUGGCAUCAUGCUCAGCAUAUACAGCUGGGGGAAGAAAAAAGGGGAGACAUUUUGAGUGAUGGUUGUCUUCCCAAGUCACCCUUCCGUGUGAAGGAGCCCUGCUCUCCUCAGGAUGGCUGGACACCUGCCUGCCCAUGGGGAGGGCUGAAUUAAUUCCUUGUUCUGCUUCAUCUAUACACAUGGCUUUUGCUCUGUCUGUUAAACUGUCUUUA